rnacentral:rRNA from 1 species
AGUGAACGCUGGCGGUAGGCCUAACACAUGCAAGUCGAACAGCAGCACAGUAAGAGCUUGCUCUUACGGGUGGCGAGUGGCGGACGGGUGAGGAAUACAUCGGAAUCUACUUUUUCGUGGGGGAUAACGUAGGGAAACUUACGCUAAUACCGCAUACGACCUACGGGUGAAAGCAGGGGACCUUCGGACCUUGCGCGAUUGAAUGAGCCGAUGUCGGAUUAGCUAGUUGGCGGGGUAAAGGCCCACCAAGGCGACGAUCCGUAGCUGGUCUGAGAGGAUGAUCAGCCACACUGGAACUGAGACACGGUCCAGACUCCUACGGGAGGCAGCAGUGGGGAAUAUUGGACAAUGGGCGCAAGCCUGAUCCAGCCAUACCGCGUGGGUGAAGAAGGCCUUCGGGUUGUAAAGCCCUUUUGUUGGGAAAGAAAAGCAGCAGGUUAAUACCCCGCUGUUCUGACGGUACCCAAAGAAUAAGCACCGGCUAACUUCGUG